CAGCUCUCUGCCUCUGCGCUGGGCAGCUGUAACACCGCCUGGUUGGACGAUCACAGCGUCUCCAGUGUGGGAGACUCUGAGCUGAUCCAGGAUCUGAUCCAGGACCUGAGGGGGGGGGGCGAGGGUCUGCAGAAACCCCCUUCUCAUGGAGGCUCGAACCAGGUCUGGAGUCAGCGCUCUGCACACCGGGAACCACUUCCACACCUUCAGCGCAGCAGAGGGUCUGUUGUGUCUGAACUCUGAUCAGGAGGGGGGGCAGUGUGAGGACUACCAGGUGAGGUUCACCUGCUCCGGAGACUUCUGCUCAGAGUGCAGGACGCGAUGGUUUGACCACGACGACCCGACAGGAAACGGAAAUUUCGAGAUGCUCAACGACAUCGUGAACGUUUUCCCUCGAGAGAUCUGCUCCCAGCCGACGGCCAUCGAGGCUCAGACCGUCUCCGGAGAGCCGGUGGACACGACCAAUAACUUCCUGACAUAUGACGCCUCCUCCGGGGUUCUCCUGUGUGAACAAAGAUCAGAGCAGCAGGUGUGAGGAGCUACAGGGUCCGCUUCACCUGUCCCACAGACUUCUGUCAGGUGUCGGAGCAGUGCCGGACACAGUGGCUGAACAGUGACGACCCCUCGCAGGGCUGGGGGGACGUGGAGUCCAUCGCUCAGCUCCUCAAAACGUUCCCCCGGGUCGAGUCUGCAGAAACCCGCUCAGCAUCGAGGCCCAAACCCUCAGAGGAGUCUCAGCAGAGCACCACCGGAGACUCCUUCCUCUCAUAUGACACUACCUUUGGUUUGCGUGCAAUGAACGAGAAGCAGAGCAGCAACAGUGUGAGGACUAUCAGGUGAUCCUCACGUGUCCGUCAGACUUCUGUCAGGGCUGCAGGACGCGAUGGUUCGAUGAAGAUGACCCUUCAGAGCGAGGAGGACUUCGAGAUGCUGAUCCAGCUGAAGAUGAUGUUUCCUGAUGAGAUCUGCCAGCGAGCCAAUCAGCAUCGAGGCCAAACACUGAGCGGAGUCCCAGCCAAUCAGACAGGAGACCUGUUCCAGAUAUACGAUGCGUCUCGUGGCUUCGCCUGUGUGAACGCUGAGCAGCCGGGGGGGAGACUCUGUCAGGACUACAGGGUCAGACUCACCUGUCCUCAGGUGUUCUGCUCACUGUGACUCAGUACAGAGACACUCAGUUUCAUUUCCUUACCCUGAGUAGUGACUGUAUGACACUAUGUUAUGUUAUAUAAAGCACAUUAAAGGUGUAUCUGUAAGCUGUGCUGUGUGUUCUUCAUGCUGUCACACACUUCAGUU